rnacentral:rRNA from 1 species
CCUACGGGUGGCAGCAGUGGGGAAUAUUGGACAAUGGGCGAAAGCCUGAUCCAGCCAUGCCGCGUGUGUGAAGAAGACCUUCGGGUUGUAAAGCACUUUCAGUGGGGAAGAAAGCCUUGGGGCUAAUACCCUCGAGGAAGGACAUCACCCACAGAAGAAGCACCGGCUAACUCCGUGCCAGCAGCCGCGGUAAUACGGAGGGUGCGAGCGUUAAUCGGAAUUACUGGGCGUAAAGCGCGCGUAGGCGGUCUGAUAAGCCGGUUGUGAAAGCCCCGGGCUCAACCUGGGAACGGCAUCCGGAACUGUCAGGCUAGAGUGCAGGAGAGGAAGGUAGAAUUCCCGGUGUAGCGGUGAAAUGCGUAGAGAUCGGGAGGAAUACCAGUGGCGAAGGCGGCCUUCUGGACUGACACUGACGCUGAGGUGCGAAAGCGUGGGUAGCAAACAGGAUUAGAUACCCUGGUAGUC